rnacentral:rRNA from 1 species
UAGGGAAUCUUCGGCAAUGGACGAAAGUCUGACCGAGCAACGCCGCGUGAGUGAAGAAGGUUUUCGGAUCGUAAAACUCUGUUGUUAGAGAAGAACAAGGACGUUAGUAACUGAACGUCCCCUGACGGUAUCUAACCAGAAAGCCACGGCUAACUACGUGCCAGCAGCCGCGGUAAUACGUAGGUGGCAAGCGUUGUCCGGAUUUAUUGGGCGUAAAGCGAGCGCAGGCGGUUUCUUAAGUCUGAUGUGAAAGCCCCCGGCUCAACCGGGGAGGGUCAUUGGAAACUGGGUGACUUGAGUGCAGAAGAGGAGAGUGGAAUUCCAUGUGGAGCGGUGAAAUGCGUAGAUAUAUGGAGGAACACCAGUGGCGAGGGCGGCUCUCUGGUCUGUAACUGACGCUGAGGCUCGAAAGCGUGGGGAGCAAACAGG